GACGAACGCUGGCGGCGUGCUUAACACAUGCAAGUCGAACGAGAGGAGAAGGAAGCUUGCUUCUUUCAAAUCUAGUGGCAAACGGGUGAGUAACACGUAAACAACCUGCCUUCAGGAUGGGGACAACAGACGGAAACGACUGCUAAUACCGAAUACGUUCCUUAGGUCGCAUGACUUUAGGAAGAAAGGGUGGCCUCUACUUGUAAGCUAUCGCCUGAAGAGGGGUUUGCGUCUGAUUAGCUAGUUGGUGAGGUAACGGCCCACCAAGGCGACGAUCAGUAGCCGGUCUGAGAGGAUGAACGGCCACAUUGGGACUGAGACACGGCCCAGACUCCUACGGGAGGCAGCAGUGGGGAAUCUUCCGCAAUGGACGAAAGUCUGACGGAGCAACGCCGCGUGAACGAUGACGGCCUUCGGAUUGUAACCUAAGUUGUCAGGGAC
rnacentral:rRNA from 1 species